AUACUUACCUGGCAGGGGAGAUACCAUGAUCACAAAGGUGGUUUUCCCAGGACAAGGCUUAUCCAUUGCAUUCCAGGUGUGCUGACCCCUGCGAUUUCCCCAAAUGUGGGAAACUCAACCGCAUAAUUUGUGGUAGUGGGGGACUGCAUUCGCGCUUUCCCCUG
ensembl:snRNA U1 U1 spliceosomal RNA